UGGGGAAUUGUUCGCAAUGGGCGCAAGCCUGACGACGCAACGCCGCGUGGAGGAUGAAGGUCUUCGGAUUGUAAACUCCUGUUGACCGGGAAGAAUGGGCGACGACCUAACACGUCGGAGCAGUGACGGUACCGGUUGAGGAAGCCACGGCUAACUCUGUGCCAGCAGCCGCGGUAAUACAGAGGUGGCAAGCGUUGUUCGGAAUUACUGGGCGUAAAGGGCGCGUAGGCGGCCUUCUAAGUCGGACGUGAAAUCCCCAGGCUUAACUUGGGAACUGCGUCCGAUACUGGAGGGCUUGAGUGCGGGAGAGGGGUGUGGAAUUCCAGGUGUAGCGGUGAAAUGCGUAGAUAUCUGGAGGAACACCGGUGGCGAAGGCGGCAUCCUGGACCGACACUGACGCUGAGGCGCGAAAGCCAGGGGAGCAAACGGG
rnacentral:rRNA from 1 species